CGGGGGGGACGCAGGAGGGUAGGUGAUCCCAGGCGAUGGUUGUCCUGGGGUAAGCGUGUAGGGCGAGGUGUAGGGAAGUCCGCACCUCAUACAGCCUGAGACGCGAUGCCGAGCCGUUUCAAGGCGAAGUCACUGAUCCCAUGCUGCCAAGAAAAGCCGCUAGCGAGCUUUCACGGUGCCCGUACCCCAAACCGACACAGGUGGGCAGGUAGAGAAUACCGAGGCGAUUGAGAGAACUAUGGUUAAGGAACUCGGCAAAUUGCGUCCGUAACUUCGGGAUAAGGACGACCUCGUUAGGGUGAUGGGACUUGCUCCCGGAGCUCGAAGGGGUGGCACAGACCAGAGGGUGGCGACUGUUUACUAAAAACACAGCAGCGUGCGAAGCCGUAAGGCGCUGUAUACGCUGUGACGCCUGCCCGGUGCUGGAAGGUUACGGGGAAGGGUUAGCUUUCGGGCGAAGCUCUGAACCUAAGCCCCAGUAAACGGCGGCCGUAACUAUAACGGUCCUAAGGUAGCGAAAUUCCUUGUCGGGUAAGUUCCGACCUGCACGAAUGGCGUAACGACCUCCCUACUGUCUCAACCAUAGACUCAGCAAAAUUGAAGUACGAGUAAAGAUGCUCGUUAGGUGCGGAAGGACGGAAAGACCCCGUGGACCUUUACUAUAACUUGAUGUUGGUUUCUAGUUUGCGUUGUGUAGGAUAGGUGGGAGACUUGGAAGCGGUCACGCUAGUGGCUGUGGAGUCAACGUUGAAAUACCACCCUGCGUAUGCCGGGAAUCUAACCUUGGUCCGUGAUCCGGAUUGGGGACAGCGUCAGGCGGGUAGUUUGACUGGGGCGGUCGCCUCCUAAACUGUAACGGAGGCGCCCAAAGGUUCCCUCAGCCUGGUCGGCCAUCAGGCGUCGAGUGCAAUGGCACAAGGGAGCUUGACUGCGAGACCUACAAGUCGAGCAGGUGCGAAAGCAGGGCAUAGUGAUCCGGCGAUUGCUUGUGGAAGCGUCGUCGCUCAACGGAUAAAAGGUACCCCGGGGAUAACAGGCUAAUCUUGCCCAAGAGUCCAUAUCGACGGCAAGGUUUGGCACCUCGAUGUCGGCUCAUCGCAUCCUGGGGCUGAAGCAGGUCCCAAGGGUUGGGCUGUUCGCCCAUUAAAGCGGUACGCGAGCUGGGUUUAGAACGUCGUGAGACAGUUCGGUCCCUAUCCUCCGCACCCGUAGGAGAAUUGAGGAAGGCUAUCCCUAGUACGAGAGGACCGGGAUGGACGCAGCUCUCGUGUGCCAGUUGUCCUGCCAAGGGCAUGGCUGGUUAGCGACCUGCGGAAGGGAUAACCGCUGAAAGCAUCUAAGCGGGAAGCUCGUUCCAAGAUGAGUUCUCCCACCGGGUUAACCGGGUAAGGCCCGUGGUAGAUGACCACGUUGAUAGGCCGGAAGUGGAAGCACGGUAACGUGUGCAGCUGACCGGUACUAAUCGGCCGAGGGCUUGGAUUC
rnacentral:rRNA from 1 species